ACGAACGCUGGCGGCGCGCCUAACACAUGCAAGUCGAACGAGAGAGAGGGAGCUUGCUUCCUUGAUCGAGUGGCGAACGGGUGAGUAACGCGUGAGGAACCUGCCUCAAAGAGGGGGACAACAGUUGGAAACGACUGCUAAUACCGCAUAAGCCCACGACCCGGCACCGGGAAGAGGGAAAAGGAGCAACCCGCUUUGAGAUGGCCUCGCGUCCGAUUAGUGAGUUGGUGAGGUAACGGCCCACCAAGGCGACGAUCGGUAGCCGGACUGAGAGGUUGAACGGCCACAUUGGGACUGAGACACGGCCCAGACUCCUACGGGAGGCAGCAGUGGGGAAUAUUGCACAAUGGGGGAAACCCUGAUGCAGCGACGCCGCGUGGAGGAAGAAGGUCUUCGGAUUGUAAACUCCUGUUGUUGAGGAAGAUAAUGACGGUACUCAACAAGGAAGUGACGGCUAACUACGUGCCAGCCGCCGCGGUAA
rnacentral:rRNA from 1 species